GCUCUUUUGUCCCAUUACGUGGCGUUCGAUGAUUUGCUGAGAGACAUGGGUCCCGUUAUUUUCUCCUCCACGUAAGUGCGGCGUCUGUGGCUCUGUUUUCUCGACGCGGCUCGGCAAGUCGAAUUAGGAGGAGGGUGUGACAGAGAAUUGAGGGCGAUGGUAAAAUUUAGGUUUUGAGGUGUACCUAAUUUCAUAUUGAGAAUGAGAUCAGGGACAGUCUGGGUUCGACCGACACCAUUGAGGAGCUGGAGCCGCCGUCCCUUUGACCGGAACCCUUAAGAUCUCUGGUUCUAAUUCCAGCCUUCCGCCAAUGUAAUACAGCGCCGGUGGUGAAAGUUGAAGGAAUUCUCUACAUAUGAAAUAGAAUACUAAUCGUUGCUCAAGUUGCCAUGGGCGAAGUUGACGACCCAAAAGAUGCUGAUGCAGAGGAAGAAAUUGUGUUGUUCAUUUUCGCCCCCGAGAAGAAAUUAGCAGGUCACAGAUUCCAUCUGGUUCGACUUUAUUGAUGCCAAGUCUUACUGGGCUCCAUCGUCGAGUCCACUUCCGAAUGGCAGAGUUGGUGUGAUUAUUGGUAAGCUGGGAGAGACUAUUAACUAUCUUCAGGCUUAAUCUGGAGGACCCCAAGAUUCAAGUUACUCGACUAGGGAGGUGGAGAUUAUGGGAACCUCGGAGCAAAUCUCAAAAGCCUUUUACUAUGCAAUGUUCCUGUUUUGGGAGGCUUUGAGUUCCGAGUAUAUUAGUAUGGAUAUAUGAAAUACUAUGGUUUUUUGCUUGCUCUACUUCAAGUUCUGAAUCAACAUGAAAGGUAAUUGCACUUGGUACUCACAACUAUAUUUAUACCAGACUGAAUCAGGAGGUCUUUCCAUAGUUUCUAGAUUCAUUUGUUAUGAAAUUUCUUCACAACAAGGUACAUGAGUUUAUCUGCAUCAUCAGCAUUUUGUAGUGAGUUGGUUUUCAAAAAACAAUUGUGAUUCCGUAAGUUGCAUGUUGCUCUUGUAAUUGGAUUACGAGGGGAAACUAAUCAAACUUAAAAAAAAAAAAUUAAAGCUAGUACUAAUGCUCCUAUUCGGGUUUCUUUAUUUGGACCUAGAUAUCUGUUUUUCAUUUCAUUUCGGUAUUUGUAAGGCAGUGGAGUGUUGGAUAUUAUUUAACUCAUAUAUUUUGGAAUUUGAAUGUCAUAUUCUAUGCAGGCGAUUCCCCUACAUCUUCCUCUAGUGACAUCUCAACUAAAAGGACAGCAUAGAUUGAUGAAACUAGUGAACCAAAUUGAAGCUUCCAAAUUGCUGUGUUUGGUUUCAAUAAUUUGCUUGCAAUGUAUAUUUGGUCUACUCCUAGUCUUACUGCACUUUAGUUUGGAGUUUUUUUUUUGUUCGAUCGAUUAUCGCUAGUAAUUUUUUCUUUAAUCGGAUUGAAAAUUGCUCUAAUGUUGCUGAAGCUACUAUUAUCACAAUUUUUUUCUAAUUUGUGGCAAUGAUGAUAACUUUUAUGGAAAUUAGGAUGAUACUAUUACAUUUCCCUCAGCAUGAAGCCUGAUGAUGUCAUUUAUGAGAUGUUCAUUGAUGGAUUUUGCAAAACGGGUU